rnacentral:lncRNA from 1 species
AACAACAUUGGUUUCCACUAAUUUUAUCUCAAUUUAUCACAAUAAUAAGUCUUUACAUUAACAGAUGAUGAACAAAGGAAGAAAGUGAAUUGGCUACAAGACAAGCAUGCAAAUCUGUGAUGAGGGCUUAAACAAACCACACCCAUGCAUCAGGAAGCAGCUAGAAAACAUGGACCAGUGCAACCAGAUACAAACAAUUUGACUCCUCUACCUUGUGAUUCAUAGCUA